rnacentral:rRNA from 1 species
AUUGAACGCUGGCGGCAUGCUUUACACAUGCAAGUCGAACGGCAGCACGGGUGCUUGCACCUGGUGGCGAGUGGCGAACGGGGGAGUAAUACAUCGGAACGUACCUUAUCGUGGGGGAUAGCGCAGCGAAAGUUGCGCUAAUACCGCAUACGCCCUGAGGGGGAAAGUGGGGGACCGCAAGGCCUCACGCGACUAGACCGGCCGAUGUCUGAUUAGCUAGUUGGUAGGGUAAAGGCCUACCAAGGCUUCGAUCAGUAGCUGGUCUGAGAGGACGAGCACACACACUGGGACAGAGACACGGCCCAGAAUCCUACGGUGUGCGGCAGUGGGGAAUUUUGGACAAUGUGGGCAACCCUGAUCCAGAAAUGCCGCGGGAGUGAAAAAGUACUUCGGGUUGUAAAGCUCUUUUGUCAGGGAAGAAACAGCAGCUCUAAUGCAGCAUGCGAAUGACGGUACCUGAAGAAUAAGCACCGGCUAACUACGUGCCAGCAGCCGCCGUAA